rnacentral:rRNA from 1 species
GGAGUUAGCCGGUGCUUCUUCUGUGAGUGAUGUCCUUCCUGCCGGCUAUUAACCCGCAGGCCUUCUUCCUCACUGAAAGUGCUUUACAACCCGAAGGCCUUCUUCACACACGCGGCAUGGCUGGAUCAGGGUUGCCCCCAUUGUCCAAUAUUCCCCACUGCUGCCUCCCGUAGGAGUCUGGGCCGUGUCUCAGUCCCAGUGUGGCUGAUCAUCCUCUCAGACCAGCUACGGAUCGUCGCCUUGGUGAGCCGUUACCUCACCAACCAGCUAAUCCGACAUAGGCUCAUCCGAUAGCGCGAGGCCCGAAGGUCCCCCGCUUUCCCCCGUAGGGCGUAUGCGGUAUUAGCCUGGGUUUCCCCAGGUUAUCCCCCGACUACCGGGCAGAUUCCUAUGCAUUACUCACCCGUCCGCCGCUCGCCACCAGGGAGCAAGCUCCCCGUGCUGCCGCUCGACUUGCAUGUGUUAGGCCUGCCGCCAGCGUUCAAUCUGAGCCAUGAUCAAACUCUGA